UUCAGGUAACUUAUUACUUUCAUUUCUAUUUUUGUAUCAUUCUGUAGGACCUGUUCGAUGUGUUUUGAUAGAUUGAGUUUGACUCUUGUGUUAUCGUACUCUGGGCAUUCAAUCAGUAAGUGUUUGACUGUGGUGUCUGCGGCGCAAUACGGGCAGAUUGGAGGGCUUUCGUUAUUUAGGAUAUGGCGAUGCGUAAGACGUGUGUGACCAAUUCUUAAUCUGGUUAAAAUUCUUUGAUGGCUCCUGGAAGGGUGGUCAGUCCAUGGAUCUAUUGCUGUUUUUAUGUACUUUAGGUGUUUGUCGUUGGAUUGUAGCCAUUCUGUUGUCCAAUGUAUUUUAAUCUGGUUGUGAAGCCAACGGCAAAAGUCGGCUCUGGACAAUUUGUUGUUUUGAAUUGCAGGUAACAGUCGGGCUUCGUUGGCCAGUCUGUCGGCAUGGUCAUUUCCAGGGAUCCCCUUGUGGCUGGGGAUCCAGCAGAAGCUGAUGUGUCUGAUGUUGGAGAGUUGCUCUAUUUGUUGAAUGUAUGGGUUUUUGAAGUUGCCAUGUUCUAUAGCUUUUAAUACGGAUGCGCUGUCUGUGAAGAUAACACAUUCUGUGUUUGGAGGUGCUAUUUCUUCUGCUGCUUUUAUGAUUGCUAUUGCUUCCGCUGAGAAAAUGGUGGUGUGACAAGGCAAUCUUAGUUUUAGGCAUCUAUUUUGAGUGUAAACUGCACAACCGGCGUUAGGUGGUAAAACGGAUCCAUCAGUGUAAAUUUUUAAGUGGUUUUUGUAUUUGUCGGCUAUUUCGAUGAAAUGCUGCAGUAUAACCGAAUUAUUGUUGUUGUUCUUGCUAAUGUGUUGCAUCGACCAGUCUACCUUGAUGGUGGGAUUGUACCACGGUUUUAGCUUAUUUUUGUUGAUGAUACUUCAGUGGAAGAACGCCGCAUUCAACUAGUGCUGCUUCGGUUGGACUGGUUUUGAAGCAACCCGAUAUGUGCUUGACGGCCCGGUGGUAUAGUGGAGCGAAUUGUUGAAUAAGAUCUGUGGAACCUAGUGAGGAAAUCUCCGCCCCGUACAGCAGCCGCGGCAAGAACCAGCCCUUUAGGACUGCCAACAGCGCUGGGCGAGGGGUGUUAUUCUGUGCCAACGUACGGAUUAUAUUUAAACGAGGUAUGGUGCGUCUUUUAAUUUCUCUGCAGUGGGGCCCGAAGGACGGUUGCGGACACGUGUGAUUCCGCUUGGUAUAUGUAAAAUUUUGCUCUUUGAAGCCGCUAUAGAGUUGCCGGUCCAGUUGGUCCACUGGAAAACCUUGUUGACAGCAUGCUGUAGCUUGAGUCGUGCGGUCUUGGCGUAGUGGUGUGUGGAAACUAGUAUUAUGUCGUCAGCGUAAAGGAAGAUGUGUACGUUUGUGGGGAGGGAUAGUAGUAGGGAUUCGAUGCUUAUAAGGAAGAGGGUGGGAGACAAAGAAGACCCUUGCGGAACUCCGUUCUCAAGAGGGAAAGGGCGGGAAGUGUACGAGCCUAGCAGGAUUUUAAAGGUCCGAUCGGUUAGGAAAUGUUGCAGAAAUGCCGUUAAGCGGCCACCUAUGCCCCAUUUUGCCAAUUGAUCUAAUAUGUAGUAUCGCCAGGUGCGGUCAAAGGCCUUUGACAGGUCAAUGAUUGCGCAGAUAAUGUGUUUUCCUUUGUUCCUUGCUGUAGAGAAACACUGCUCUAAUGUCGCAAGGUAUGUUUCCAUACUCUUGCCGGGUCGAAAGGCGUGUUGGUGUUUGUUGAGGAGUUUACGGUCUUCGAGCUUCGUAAUGAGUCUCCGGUUGACCAUUUUCUCCAUCACCUUGCAGGUGCAAGGGAGUAGAGAGAUGGGCCGGUAGCUAUUGGCACUAUUGCUGGGUUGAUUAGGUUUGGGGAUAGGCACUAUCAGACUAUUUUUCCAUUCUGAUGGGAUGUUUCCGGUGGUCCAGAUAUUGUUGUAAAUAGCGAGCAAACGGUAAUGAGCAAUGAGAGGUAGAUUUUUGAGCAAAGGGUAGCCGAUAUUGUCGGCACCGGCAGAGUUUCCCUGGCAGCUGUUAAGUGCCCAGUGGAGCUCUCUUAUGGAAAACAGUUGAUUGUACGAUUUGUGGUUUGUGUCAGGAAAAGUGAUGGGAAGGUUGGACUCGGUAUUUAUUUUGUGAGCUAUGAAACUGGAAGAGUAGUUUUUGGUGGCUGAGGAGUUGUAGAAGUGAUUGCCGAGUGUUUGGGCAAUUUCGGGCGUGGAUGUAAUUGAUUGGUUGUUUUCGAUCAAAGUGAAGGUAGAGGAUGGUUUUUCCCAGACAUGUAGUUUAUCUGUCCCCAGACCUGUUUGAGUGUACUGGAUGGCUUGAUACUGUGCGCCAAGCUAGUCCAACCGGAGGCCUUAGCCUCUUGGAUGGCCCGCUUAGCUUUGGAGUUGGCUAUGCGAUAUAGGCUGGCUAGAUGAGGUGUAAUGGGGUUGUUGGGAAUACGAGUGCUCCGCCGCAGUUUGCGAAGGGCGGAUCUGCGUUCUUUGAUGGCUAAUUGAACGUCCUUGUUCCACCAGGGUACGGAUUUGCCGGAUUUGAAACCUUUUGUAAUAGGAAUACUGAGUUUGGCUGCUUUUAAGAUUAGGUUGUGGAGCUCGUCUAUUGUCAUGUCGUUGUUGGUCGAGAUGUGUGAGUCUAUUGUUUGCUGGUAUAGCGACCAAUUGGCCUUUUCAUAUUUCCAACGAGGUCGGGAUGUUGGUCUGGCGUCUAUUUGGUUGUGUUGAAUGAGAAUCGGAAAAUGGUCACUGCCGUGAAGGUCGGGGGCUAUGGACAGUUUGAAUUGAGAGCAAAUAUCGUUCGAUACUGCACAGUGGUCUAGAGUGGAUUCCUUUCCAUCAGCGGGAGAAAUGCGAGUGGGUUGAUGAUUUUGAAGCACAUACAUGCUGUUAAGCUCAAAGUAAGCGUACAGCAGUUUACCGCGUGGAGUACACUUAUCGUUGCCCCACGCUGUGUGGGAGCAGUUUAAAUCGCCAAUUAUUAUCUUAGGGUGGUCGGUUUGCAUGGCUACGCUAUUGAGGUCGUUUGUUAGGUAGAGAAAUGAUGAAUGGGGAAUGUAGCUAUUGAUGAUGGUCACUGUGCAGGGAUAUUUUAUUUUCACGGCUAGUACUGGGAGUGGUGAAUUGAUAGAGACGAAUUCGUGGUCGAUUGUUUUUAAAACGCCUAUUGCUAUGUUGUGGUGAAUGUUGUUGAAAUUUUUAAAAUACCAUUGGUAUUGCGCGAAGGAAGUGUUGAAAACAGGUGGAAUAAACAUUGUUUCUUGGAGUGUGAUUAUA